rnacentral:rRNA from 1 species
CGUUUGGGCACUUGAAUUACAUUGCAAUGUCGAGCGAAUCCGCGAUUUAAGAGCUUGCUCUUAUGAAGUUAGCGGCGGACGGGUGAGUAACACGUGGGUAACCUGCCCAUAAGACUGGGAUAACUCCGGGAAACCGGGGCUAAUACCUGAUAACAUUUUGAACCGCAUGGUUCGAAAUUGAAAGGCGGCUUCGGCUGUCACUUAUGGAUGGACCCGCGUCGCAUUAGCUAGUUGGUGAGGUAACGGCUCACCAAGGCAACGAUGCGUAGCCGACCUGAGAGGGUGAUCGGCCACACUGGGACUGAGACACGGCCCAGACUCCUACGGGAGGCAGCAGUAGGGAAUCUUCCGCAAUGGACGAAAGUCUGACGGAGCAACGCCGCGUGAGUGAUGAAGGCUUUCGGGUCGUAAAACUCUGUUGUUAGGGAAGAACAAGUGCUAGUUGAAUAAGCUGGCACCUUGACGGUACCUAACCAGAAAGCCACGGCUAACUACGUGCCAGCAGCCGCGGUAAUACGUAGGUGGCAAGCGUUAUCCGGAAUUAUUGGGCGUAAAGCGCGCGCAGGUGGUUUCUUAAGUCUGAUGUGAAAGCCCUCGGCUCAACCGUGGAGGGUCAUUGGAAACUGGGAGACUUGAGUGCAGAAGAGGAAAAGUGGAAUUCCAUGUGUAGCGGUGAAAAUGCGUAGAGAUAUGGGAGGAACACCAGUGGCGAAGGCGACUUUCCUGGUCUGUAACUGACACUGAGGCGCGAAAGCGUGGGGAGCAACAGGAUAAGAUACCCUGGUAGUCCACGCUGUAAACGAUGAUUGCCUAAGUGUUAGAGGGUUUCGCCCUUUAGUUGCUGAGUAAACGCAUUAAGCACUCCGCCUGGGGAAGUACGGCCGCAAGGCUGAAACUCAAAGGAUUUGACGGGGGCCCGCACAAGCGGUGGAGCAUUGUG